GAUAAUGAUGGACUUCGGCAAGAUAUUGGCCACGAAAGUAAAAAAAUCCAUGGGCACAUAGAGAGAUGGAUACAGUAAAACCAAAAUGAAUUAAAACUGCCCCAUCACUUCCUGGACUCGCCAGUGUUGCUAAAGGCCUGCCAAAAGUUUUCCUCAUCGCAGACAAACCAAAGUAACUCGAAACAAAACACCUUGAGAUUUUGAUCGGGUCAUGCAAAAGACCAAUAAUUCAUUAAAGUUC